UAAGUACUCCCUCCGUCCCAAAAUAAGUGACUCAAAAGUGACUCAAUUUUACACUAAAGUAGUGGAACAUUGAGCCACUUUUGAGUCAUUUAUUUUGGAACGGAGGGAGUAUAAU
rnacentral:pre_miRNA from 1 species